GUGCUCACUUUGGCAGCACAUAUACUAAAAUUGGAAUGGCACAGAGAAGAUCAGCGUGGCCUCUUGCACAAGGACGACAUACAAAAUUCAUGAAGCCUCCCAUAUUUUU